CCUACGGGAGGCAGCAGUGGGGAAUAUUGCACAAUGGGCGAAAGCCUGAUGCAGCAACGCCGCGUGAAGGAUGAAGGCUUUCGAGUCGUAAACUUCUGUCCUUGGGGAAGAAAAAAAUGACGGUACCCAUGGAGGAAGCCCCGGCUAACUACGUGCCAGCAGCCGCGGUAAU
rnacentral:rRNA from 1 species